AUUGGCCGGGUCACAAGCCCGCCCGCCCGCUGCUGGAGCCGCGACCAUGGAGGAGUCUGGCAUGGCUCAUGAAUCAGCAGAGGACUUGUUUCAUUUCAACGUAGGGGGCUGGCAUUUCUCAGUUCCCAGAAGCAAACUCUCUCAGUUUCCAGACUCCCUGCUGUGGAAAGAGGCUUCAGCCUUGACCUCUUCAGAAAGCCAGAGGCUAUUUAUCGACAGAGAUGGUUCCACAUUUAGGCACGUGCACUAUUACCUCUACACCUCCAAACUCUCCUUCUCCAGUUGUGCAGAACUGAACUUGCUGUAUGAGCAAGCAUUGGGUUUGCAGCUGAUGCCUUUGCUGCAGACUCUAGAUAACCUGAAGGAAGGGAAACACCAUCUACGCGUGCGGCCUGCAGACCUACCUGUUGCUGAGAGAGCAUCUCUGAACUACUGGCGUACAUGGAAGUGUAUUAGCAAACCCUCAGAAUUUCCAAUUAAAAGCCCAGCCUUCACAGGCCUACAUGAUAAGGCACCUCUGGGGCUCAUGGACACACCCCUGUUAGACACAGAAGAGGAGGUGCACUACUGCUUCCUGCCCCUAGACCUGGUGGCCAAAUAUCCCAGCCUAGUGACUGAAGACAACCUGCUGUGGCUGGCUGAGACAGUGGCCCUCAUCGAGUGCGAGUGCAGCGAGUUCCGCUUCAUUGGUGAUUGCUCUGUCCGGGGUGGGGUGGGGGGCGGGCGGAUAGGGCCCAUUCACCCCUCCCCAUCACAUGUCCCACAGAGGCCCAGCUUGGUGCUCAGGGCCUCAGGAGCUUCCCUGGGCAGAGGUAGCGGAAGCAUGACAGAGCUUUCCAGGAAGCAAGCAGAUUCCAGCAUUAGAAUCUCACUAGACUCAGGGCUGUUUUAUUCCCUAUUUGUUUUGGGAUGGCCUGGCUGUAAAAGUAUCAGGCACUGGAAAGUGCCAGGGACCACAGGAGUUGGUGUGAAGGGCAGGGAGCUCAGCUGGUUGCCAGUCGGCUUCUCUUCUUACUCUGCCCUUAUGUAUCCAGCUGGUCUUCAGGCCUCAGUUCCUCUCACCAUAAAAUGAGGAAUCCAGAUUGUUUCAAAGGAUGGUGCUACCUGCUCUUAAUGUCAGCAAACUCAGAAUAAAAGGGAAGGAGGGUAGAUGGUGACAGGUUCCCCCAGAGUCAUAGCAGAAUUGUCCACUUGAGGUAGUGGCCUAAGGAAGGAUGAGAUUUUCCACCUUUGACAGAGAGAGCCUCUCUCCCCCUACUGCCCCAGGAUGAGCUCUGUUUGGGAUGUGAACUGAAUGAUCUCUUUGACCCCAAGAUGCUACUGCUGUCUAGAUAGAUAGGGCAGUAAACACUCAAGUUACACUAGGAGCCCAAAUGUCUGGAACCCCAGUCAUUCAUAUUCAUAGUCACCUAGAAAGUUGUCUGUGAUGUGCUUCUGUAUCUCUAAGUUGAUUCACACAGGACAUUAGCGUUGGCUCCAUCUCUGCCUCCCAUACUGCAGUCCAGGCAGGGACAAACUGCAAGUGCCACCCGCCAGCCCAGGCUCGGCCGGGCCCCUCCUCUCUAAGCAGCAAGACAACUCUCUCUUUUGGAAUGACCUGCUCUUGGGUCAAGACUCACAGGGUAAGUCUCAGGGCCAGUGUGCCCACCAGGAGGGCCUGGCUUGGGAGCCCCAGGCCAAGCCACGGGAGGCCACACCCACGGCCUCAGACACAGGAAAACAAAGUAAUGUGGGGUCUUUCGCCUUGAAAACCACAUACUCAAAGCUAAUCUAAUAAGGUAGGUUGAUAAGUUGUUUCAGAACAAGGAGAACCUAGGAUAAGUUACAGCACCAGAAACCUGCCAAAACCAGGACCUACAGCUAAACCAGAAAUAGCCUCAUUAACUCACUGUGUUCCCCUUUGUUUUUCAAGUGAAUUUUCUUCGCUCACAGAAGAUUUUACUACCGGAUAAUUUCUCCAACAUUGAUGUAUUAGAAGCAGAAGUGGAAAUUCUGGAAAUCCCUGCACUCACUGAAGCCGUAAGGUGGUACCGGAUGAACAUGGGUGGCUGUUCCCGGACCACCUGUUCUCCCCUGAGCCCCGGGAAGGGGGCCCGCACAGCCAGCCUGGAGUCCGUGAAACCGCUCUACACAAUGGCCCUGGGUCUGCUGGUCAAGUACCCGGACUCUGCGCUGGGCCAGCUUCGCAUCGAGAGCACGCUAGACGGAAGCCGACUGUACAUCACAGGGAAUGGCGUCCUCUUUCAGCACGUCAAGAACUGGCUGGGGACUUGCCGGCUGCCCCUGACAGAGACCAUUUCCGAGGUAUAUGAGCUCUGUGCCUUCCUAGACAAAAGGGACAUCACCUAUGAGCCAAUCAAAGUUGCUUUGAAGACUCAUCUGGAGCCAAGGACUUUGGCACCCAUGGAUGUGCUCAAUGAGUGGACGGCAGAGAUCACUGUGUAUUCCCCACAACAGAUCAUCAAAGUGUAUGUUGGAAGCCACUGGUACGCAACCACCCUGCAGACACUGCUGAAGUAUCCAGAACUGCUGUCCAACCCUCAGAGAGUGUACUGGAUCACAUAUGGACAAACCCUGCUCAUCCACGGGGAUGGCCAGAUGUUCCGACACAUUCUCAACUUCCUGAGACUUGGCAAACUGUUUUUACCAUCUGAAUUUAAGGAAUGGCCCCUCUUCUGCCAGGAGGUGGAGGAAUACCACAUUCCAUCCCUCUCAGAAGCCCUUGCACAAUGUGAAGCAUACAAGUCAUGGACUCAGGAGAAAGAAUCUGAAAAUGAAGAAGCUUUUUCCAUCAGGAGGCUGCAUGUGGUGACAGAAGGGCCAGGGUCACUGGUGGAGUUCAGUAGAGACACUAAAGAAACCACAGCCUACAUGCCUGUGGACUUCGAAGACUGCAGUGACAGGACUCCAUGGAACAAGGCUAAGGGAAACCUGGUCAGGUCCAACCAGAUGGAUGAGGCUGAGCAGUACACUCGGCCCAUCCAGGUGUCCCUAUGCCGAAAUGCCAAGAGGGCUGGCAACCCUAGCACAUACUCACACUGCCGUGGCUUGUGUACCAAUCCUGGACACUGGGGGAGCCACCCUGAGAGCCCCCCAAAGAAGAAAUGCACCACAAUCAACCUCACACAGAAAUCUGAAACCAAAGACCCUCCCGCCACUCCCAUGCAAAAACUCAUCUCCCUGGUGAGAGAAUGGGACAUGGUCAAUUGCAAACAGUGGGAAUUCCAGCCACUGACAGCCACACGGAGCAGCCCCUUGGAGGAGGCCACCCUGCAGCUCCCCUUGGGAAGCGAGGCUGCUUCCCAGCCCAGCACCUCAGCUGCCUGGAAAGCCCAUUCCACAGCCUCAGAGAAGGAUCCAGGACCACAGGCAGGGGCUGGAGCUGGAGCGAAAGACAAGGGGCCAGAGCCAACCUUCAAGCCAUACUUACCCCCAAAAAGAGCCGGCACCCUGAAGGACUGGAGCAAGCAGAGGACCAAGGAGAGAGAAAGCCCUGCCCCUGAGCAGCCUCUGCCCGAGGCCAGUGAGGUGGACAGCCUAGGGGUUAUCCUCAAAGUGACUCACCCCCCCGUGGUGGGCAGCGAUGGCUUCUGCACGUUCUUUGAGGACAGCAUCAUCUAUACCACGGAGAUGGACAACCUCAGGCACACACCACCCACAGCCAGUCCCCAGCCCCAAGAAGUGACUUUCCUGAGUUUCUCUCUGUCCUGGGAAGAGAUGUUUUAUGCACAGAAAUGUCACUGCUUCCUGGCUGACAUCAUCAUGGAUUCCAUCAGGCAAAAGGACCCCAAAGCCAUCACAGCCAAGGUGGUCUCCCUGGCCAAUCGGCUGUGGACCCUGCACAUCAGCCCCAAGCAGUUUGUGGUAGAUUUGCUGGCCAUCACCGGCUUCAAGGACGACCGGCACACCCAGGAGCGCCUGUACAGCUGGGUGGAGCUUACACUGCCCUUCGCCAGGAAAUAUGGCCGCUGCAUGGACCUGCUCAUCCAGAGGGGCCUGUCUAGGUCUGUCUCGUACUCCAUCCUGGGAAAGUACCUACAAGAGGACUAGGGUGCCCAGAGAUGCAGCCCCUCAUGCCCCACCCGCCAAGUCUCAUUUUAAUUGGAGAUAGCCCCAGAAUGCAUGUGCCCAUCAGAGGGUACAUAUCAGUCUAUUUUUUAUUAUAAACAAAUAAAAGAUUAAAUCAC
rnacentral:sRNA from 1 species